rnacentral:rRNA from 1 species
GACGAACGCUGGCGGCGUGCUUAACACAUGCAAGUCGAACGGAAAGGCCCUGCUUUUGUGGGGUGCUCGAGUGGCGAACGGGUGAGUAACACGUGAGUAACCUGCCCUUGACUUUGGGAUAACUUCAGGAAACUGGGGCUAAUACCGGAUAGGAGCUCCUGCUGCAUGGUGGGGGUUGGAAAGUUUCGGCGGUUGGGGAUGGACUCGCGGCUUAUCAGCUUGUUGGUGGGGUAGUGGCUUACCAAGGCUUUGACGGGUAGCCGGCCUGAGAGGGUGACCGGCCACAUUGGGACUGAGAUACGGCCCAGACUCCUACGGGAGGCAGCAGUGGGGAAUAUUGCACAAUGGGCGGAAGCCUGAUGCAGCAACGCCGCGUGCGGGAUGACGGCCUUCGGGUUGUAAACCGCUUUCGCCUGUGACGAAGCGUGAGUGACGGUAAUGGGUAAAGAAGCACCGGCUAACUACGUGCCAGCAGCCGCGGUGAUACGUAGGGUGCGAGCGUUGUCCGGAUUUAUUGGGCGUAAAGGGCUCGUAGGUGGUUGAUCGCGUCGGAAGUGUAAUCUUGGGGCUUAACCCUGAGCGUGCUUUCGAUACGGGUUGACUUGAGGAAGGUAGGGGAGAAUGGAAUUCCUGGUGGAGCGGUGGAAUGCGCAGAUAUCAGGAGGAACACCAGUGGCGAAGGCGGUUCUCUGGGCCUUUCCUGACGCUGAGGAGCGAAAGCGUGGGGAGCGAACAGGCUUAGAUACCCUGGUAGUCCACGCUGUAAACGGUGGGUACUAGGUGUGGGGUCCAUUCCACGGGUUCCGUGCCGUAGCUAACGCUUUAAGUACCCCGCCUGGGGAGUACGGCCGCAAGGCUAAAACUCAAAGGAAUUGACGGGGCCCCGCACAAGCGGCGGAGCAUGCGGAUUAAUUCGAUGCAACGCGUAGAACCUUACCUGGGUUUGACAUGGAUCGGGAGUGCUCAGAGAUGGGUGUGCCUCUUUUGGGGUCGGUUCACAGGUGGUGCAUGGCUGUCGUCAGCUCGUGUCGUGAGAUGUUGGGUUAAGUCCCGCAACGAGCGCAACCCUUGUUCACUGUUGCCAGCACGUUAUGGUGGGGACUCAGUGGAGACCGCCGGGGUCAACUCGGAGGAAGGUGGGGAUGACGUCAAGUCAUCAUGCCCCUUAUGUCCAGGGCUUCACGCAUGCUACAAUGGCUGGUACAGAGAGUGGCGAGCCUGCGAGGGUGAGCGAAUCUCGGAAAACCGGUCUCAGUUCGGAUUGGGGUCUGCAACUCGACCUCAUGAAGUCGGAGUCGCUAGUAAUCGCAGAUCAGCAACGCUGCGGUGAAUACGUUCCCGGGGCUUGUACACACCGCCCGUCAAGUCAUGAAAGUUGGUAACA